CAGUCGCCGCGGUAAUACGAAGGGUGCAAGCGUUACUCGGAAUUACUGGGCGUAAAGCGUGCGUAGGUGGUGGUUUAAGUCCGUUGUGAAAGCCCUGGGCUCAACCUGGGAAUUGCAGUGGAUACUGGGUCACUAGAGUGUGGUAGAGGAUAGUGGAAUUUCCGGUGUAGCAGUGAAAUGCGUAGAGAUCGGAAGGAACAUCUGUGGCGAAGGCGACUAUCUGGGCCAACACUGACACUGAGGCACGAAAGCGUGGGGAGCAAACAGGAUUAGAUACCCGUAGUCCCUGUCUCUUAUACAC
rnacentral:rRNA from 1 species